rnacentral:rRNA from 1 species
UACGGAGGGGGCUAGCGUUGUUCGGAAUUACUGGGCGUAAAGCGCGCGUAGGCGGACCUGCAAGUCGGGGGUGAAAGCCCGAGGCUCAACCUCGGAACUGCCUUCGAUACUGCGGGUCUCGAGUCCGGGAGAGGUGAGUGGAAUUCCUAGUGUAGAGGUGAAAUUCGUAGAUAUUAGGAAGAACACCAGUGGCGAAGGCGACUCGCUGGACAAGUAUUGACGCUGAGGUGCGAAAGCGUGGGGAGCAAACAGG